rnacentral:rRNA from 1 species
AGUGAACGCUGGCGGUAGGCCUAACACAUGCAAGUCGAACGGCAGCACAGUAAGAGCUUGCUCUUACGGGUGGCGAGUGGCGGACGGGUGAGGAAUACAUCGGAAUCUACUUUUUCGUGGGGGAUAACGUAGGGAAACUUACGCUAAUACCGCAUACGACCUACGGGUGAAAGCAGGGGAUCUUCGGACCUUGCGCGAUUGAAUGAGCCGAUGUCGGAUUAGCUAGUUGGCGGGGUAAAGGCCCACCAAGGCGACGAUCCGUAGCUGGUCUGAGAGGAUGAUCAGCCACACUGGAACUGAGACACGGUCCAGACUCCUACGGGAGGCAGCAGUGGGGAAUAUGGGACAAUGGGCGCAAGCCUGAUCCAGCCAUACCGCGUGGGUGAGAAGGCCUUCGGGUUGUAAAGCCCUUUUGUUGGGAAAGAAAAGCAGCAGGUUAAUACCCCGCUGUUCUGACGGUACCCAAAGAAUAAGCACCGGCUAACUUCGU